rnacentral:rRNA from 1 species
UACGUAGGGGGCAAGCGUUGUCCGGAUUUAUUGGGCAUAAAGAGCGUGUAGGCGGCCUGACAGGUCUGCUGUGAAAACUCGAGGCUCAACCUCGAGAUGUCGGCGGAAACCGUCUGGCUAGAGUCCGGAAGAGGAGAGUGGAAUUCCUGGUGUAGCGGUGAAAUGCGCAGAUAUCAGGAAGAACACCUAUGGCGAAGGCAGCUCUCUGGGACGGUACUGACGCUGAGGAGCGAAAGCGUGGGUAGCAAACAGG